rnacentral:misc_RNA from 1 species
UAUUAAAAUUCUGGCCUAAUUACAAGAAAACCUUAUUUAACUUUUUGUGUGGUUUCAUACAAAUCCUGUAAUAUAAAUUAUGUCAAAUGAAAUACUGAAGUUAAUACAAAAUUUCAAUGGAAAGCUGGUGUCAAUCCAUUACUAUAACUGGAAGCACUUGUAAACUGCAUGUUUGUCUUUUGUAUAGCAUAAUGAUUGCUGGACACAAAUAUUGAACAG